GGGCGUAUGGCGAAAUUGGCAAACGCGCAGGAUUUAGACUCCUGUGCCGCAAGGCUUCUUGGGUUCGAGUCCCAGUAUGCCCA
rnacentral:tRNA from 1 species